rnacentral:rRNA from 1 species
UACGGAGGGUGCAAGCGUUAUCCGGAUUUAUUGGGCUUAAAGGGCGCGUAGGCGGGUUGGGAAGUCAGUGGUGAAAUACUUUCGCUUAACGAAGGAACUGCCAUUGAUACUAUCAAUCUUGAAUGUAGUGGAGGUAGGCGGAAUGCGUCAUGUAGCGGUGAAAUGCUUAGAUAUGACGCAGAACACCAAUUGCGAAGGCAGCUUGCUACACUACUAUUGACACUGAGGCACGAAAGCGUGGGGAUCAAACAGG